UGCAGGGGACCACGGCCGGGCUGGGGAUGCGUGGGUUCGGCGCCCGCCCCCUCCCCCGGGCGUUCCUCUUCAAGCCUUGCCGGUUUCCUAGCCGGGAAGUGACGGGGCCUUAGGACGCUUUGCAACAGCCCAUUGGGCGCUGGCGGGAGACGCUGGAGCGGCUACUUCCGCUGCCCAGUUAAAGAGGCCCCGGGAGCAGGCUCUGCUGGAGGCCACGUGGAGUAGCCGGCACAUCCUGGCUUUGGUAUUAAAGUGGAGGACAAGCAGGCCAAAUAGCAGAGUGUUGUUAACUGCGUUCCCCAGCAGCCCUCACUAUCGUUUGACUUUGGUGAAGGAGAUGACAAGGCUUCUUUCCUGCUGGGGUAGGUGUCACAUGUGGAAGCUUCAAUCAAAGCCUUACAUCUUGGCAAAGUAGGUG
ensembl:lncRNA